GGUCUAAAACAAUAACACAUUUUGACUGUGAGAUUCAGCAGACAGAGAAAAGUCAGUUACCUGUAGUGAUGU